GCAGCCCUGGUGACAAUGUCACGCCCAGAUGAGCAUCGGUGGCUUCUGGUUCCAAGGCAUCUGCAGGGCGUUAGGAGAAUCCUGUGGCCUUGUCGAGGCGCUGGAGACGGCUCUUCCUCCCGAGCAGGCUACGCCCAGGAGGAACAGCUAAAGGAAGAGGAGGAGAUUAAAGAGGAAGAGGAGGAGGAGGAGGACAGCGGUUCAGUAGCUCAGCUUCAGGGAAGCAAUGACACGGGGACAGACGAGGAGCUAGAAACGGGCCCAGAGCAGAAAGGCUACUUCAGCUGCCAGAACUCUCCUGGAAGUCAUUUGUCCAAUCAGGACGCAGAGAACGAGUCUCUGCUGAGUGAUGCCAGCGACCAGGUGUCAGACAUCAAGAGCGUGUGCGGCCGAGAUGCCCCGGAAAAGAAAGCGAACGUUCACCCCAAGCUUCCAAUCGAGGCACACAAUUGCAUGGAUAAAAUGACCGCCGUGUAUGCCAACAUCCUGUCGGACUCCUACUGGUCCGGCCUGGGCCUGGGUUUCAAGCUCUCCAAUAGCGAGAGGCGCAGUUGUGACACCCGCAAUGGCAGCAACAAGAGUGAUUUUGAUUGGCACCAAGACGCUCUGUCCAAAAGCCUGCAGCAAAACUUGCCUUCCAGGUCGGUCUCGAAGCCCAGCCUGUUCAGCUCCGUGCAGCUGUACCGGCAGAGCAGCAAGAUGUGCGGGACUGUGUUCACUGGGGCCAGCAGGUUCCGCUGCCGGCAGUGCAGUGCUGCCUACGACACCCUGGUUGAGUUGACUGUGCACAUGAAUGAGACCGGCCACUAUCAAGAUGACAACCGCAAAAAGGACAAGCUUAGACCCACGAGCUAUUCAAAGCCCCGGAAACGGGCUUUUCAGGAUAUGGAUAAGGAGGAUGCUCAAAAGGUUCUGAAAUGCAUGUUCUGUGGUGACUCCUUCGAUUCCCUCCAAGAUUUGAGUGUCCAUAUGAUAAAGACAAAACAUUACCAAAAAGUGCCUUUGAAGGAGCCAGUGCCAACCAUUUCAUCAAAAAUGGUCACUCCGGCCAAGAAGCGUGUGUUCGAUGUCAAUCGGCCUUGUUCCCCCGAUUCCACCACCGGAUCGUUUGCAGAUUCGUUUCCUUCUCAGAAGACCGCCGCCAGUUUGCAGCUGUCCUCCAACAACCGCUAUGGCUACCAAAAUGGCGCCAGCUACACCUGGCAGUUCGAGGCCUGCAAGUCCCAGAUCCUCAAGUGCAUGGAGUGUGGGAGCUCCCACGACACCUUGCAGCAGCUCACCACCCACAUGAUGGUCACAGGCCACUUCCUCAAGGUCACCAGCUCUGCCUCCAAGAAAGGGAAGCAGCUGGUGUUGGACCCACUCGCAGUGGAGAAAAUGCAGUCCUUGUCAGAGACCCCAAACAGUGACUCUCUGACUCCCAAGCCAUCGAGCAACUCAGCAUCCGACUGUACAGCCUCGACCACCGAGUUAAAGAAAGAGAGCAAAAAAGACAAGCCAGAGGAAGCCAACAAGGGUGAAAAGGUCGUGAAAAGUGAGGAAUAUGAAGACCCUCUCCAAAAGCCUUUAGACCCCACCAUGAAGUACCAGUACCUGAGGGAGGAGGAUUUGGAAGACGGCGCCAAGGGCGGAGGGGACAUCCUGAAGUCUCUGGAAAACACUGUAACCACAGCGAUCCACAAAGCCCAGAAUGGCGCCCCCAGCUGGAGCGCGUACCCCAGCAUCCACGCGGCCUACCAACUGCCAGAGGGUGCCAAGCCGCCUUUGCCCGUGGGAUCCCAGGUACUGCAGAUCCGACCUAAUCUCGCCAACAAGCUGAGGCCCAUCGCUCCAAAAUGGAAAGUCAUGCCACUGGUGUCUGUGCCCCCAAACCUGGCCCCCUACACUCAAGUCAAAAAGGAGUCGGAAGACAAAGACGAAGUCGUGAAGGAGAGUGGGAAGGAAAGUCCCCAGGAAGAGGCAUCGUCCUUCAGCCACAGUGAGAAGGAGCCCUUCCCCAAAAGUGAACCGCCUUCGGACUCCAGAAAGGCGGAGCCGUGUCCCCUGAAGGAGGAGGACAAGCUGAUGAAGGAGAGCUGUGAGAAAGAGAAGCCGCCGCCCGUGGAGCCCGUGUCUUCUCUUAGCAAUGGAUGCGCCCUCGCCAACCACACGCCGGCCCUGCCGUGCAUCAACCCACUCAGCGCACUGCAGUCCGUCUUGAACAAUCACCUGGGCAAGGCCACCGAGCCCUUGCGCUCACCUUCUUGCUCCAGCCCAAGCUCAAGCACAAUUUCUCUGUUCCACAAGUCAAAUCUCAGCGUUGUGGACAAGCCGGUUUUGAGCCCUGCCUCCUCCAGACCGGCCAGUGUGUCCAGGCGCUACCUGUUUGAGAACAAUGACCAACCCAUUGACCUGACCAAGUCCAAAAGCAAGAAGGCCGAGUCCUCGCAAGCACAAUCCUGUACGUCCCCACCUCAGAAGCACGCUCUGUCUGACAUCGCCGACAUGGUCAAAGUCCUCCCCAAAGCCACCACCCCCAAGCCUGCCACCUCCUCAAGGGUCCCUCCUGUGAAGCUGGAAAUGGAUGUCAGGCGCUUUGAGGAUGUGUCCAAUGAAGUCUCAACUCUGCAUAAAAGAAAAGGUCGGCAGUCCAACUGGAACCCCCAGCACCUCCUGAUUUUGCAGGCACAGUUCGCCUCGAGCCUCUUCCAAACAUCAGAGGGCAAAUACCUGCUGUCUGACCUGGGCCCGCAAGAGCGCAUGCAGAUCUCGAAGUUUACGGGACUCUCCAUGACCACCAUCAGCCACUGGCUGGCAAACGUCAAGUACCAGCUUAGGAAAACGGGCGGGACGAAGUUUCUGAAAAACAUGGACAAAGGACACCCCAUCUUCUAUUGCAGUGACUGUGCCUCCCAGUUCAGAACCCCUUCCACCUACAUCAGUCACUUGGAGUCUCACCUGGGCUUCCAAAUGAAGGACAUGACCCGCAUGGCCGCGGACCAGCAAAGCAAGGUGGAACAGGAGCUCUCUCGGGUGUCGUCGGCUCAGAGGUCUCCGGAAACAAUAGCUGGCGAAGAGGAUUCAGACUCUAAAUUCAAGUGUAAGUUGUGCUGUCGGACAUUUGUGAGCAAACAUGCAGUAAAACUCCACCUAAGCAAAACGCACAGCAAGUCACCCGAACACCAUUCACAGUUUGUAACAGACGUGGAUGAAGAAUAGCUCUGCAGGACAAAUGCCUUAGUCUCCGCUUUCCAGCCUGGACCCCCACACUGAGCCCUUCUUCGGCCCACCGCCCUGCCUGCUUCGGGCACUGAACUCACUGACCUCCUCCUGACACCCUGCACCAAGAAGACUGCCAAAAAAAAAAAAAAACCACCCCGCAUUUCUCUCCAUCCUCACUAACAAUUUGGUAAUGAAGUAUUGAUUUCCACUUCUCCGCUGAUGGACGAUAUUAGAUUUUCAUUGAUAAACUGCAUUGGGCUGUCUCGUCUCCACGGUCCCCUUUUCACGGUCACAAGAAAACAAAGUGCCACUGAAGAAAACUAAUGACUGGGAACACUGAUGCGCUUAUUUUGUCAGUCUGUAACAGGAAAGGGAGGGGUAGUCCUCGCCGGCCAACGGCCGAGGGGGCCGCCCGAGAUGCGGACACUUGGAAGGCUGCUUUUGGUGGUGAUGUCCGUUUCCUAUUUAUAACCCCUCUGGGAACGUUUGUCUAAAGGAAAUGUUUCUGUUCAGUGUAACAAUUACGGUUGCACCUGGAUUGCCCAGGCCUGCCCCUGCGCUAGGGAGCCAUUAAUCACUGCAAAGGAGAAGAAUUAUUAGGUUAAGGCCAGAGCUGGAGCCAAGAAAGCCUCCGAACAGUGUUCGUCUUCUGUGAAAGUUGUGCAAAUAGUUAGCCUUAGCCGUGCUGCUGCCAAGGACUUUUUCCCAGGCAGCGGUAGGCAUCUUUAUCAUGGUCAUUAUCUGGAUUGGUUUAAAACCUAGUUGUGAGCCUGCAGCCCUGUCACAGGAGACCUGCAGAUUGGGAGAAGGGGCGAGAUGUAGAAUCUGAGAAAAGCAAGAAGAUGAGCUCAUGGCAGGGUGGAAAGUUCAGCAGCGGCCUUUUCUGGUCAUCCCUUCUUGCAGGACUGGUUGUUUAUGGACUCUGGAACACAGCCGAGCUUUAGGACCAACAGAAAGCGUGAAAUAGGGUGUCCAUUUUAAAUGUGUUCCUGCAACUUUUUUCAUUAAAACUUUAAGGGCCCAAUUUUAAUUUGUGGAAUAUUCCCGUUAAUAAUGAGAUCUAAUUAAGACAUCCAUUAAAAGCCCGUUAAAGUUAAUUUAACGUAAAAAUUCCAAUAGAACUGUAUUAGAUUUUCUCCAUUAAAUUAACGUUAUGGAUUUUUAACGGAUGUCUUAAUUAUACGUUAUUAUUAACGGGAAUACUGUAUUACACAGAUUAAAAUCAGGUCCUAAGUCAACUUGGAAAGCUAGGAGCAUGUUUUAAUAUUAAAAGUCUUGCAUACCUAGCGUGCAGUUUGGAAGGGGUAGAUCUGUUUAUUCUAUACAAUGGAAAGCAACCUACAAUAGAUGUAUCCAUCAAUGCAUUUAAACAAUGAAUUUUCUUAUUCUCAAAGGACAAAUAAAUAUGGAUCAUGUUGUAAACUGCUACUCAGCUAUAGGUGAAAUAUUAAGCUACUCUAGGCAUAACACAAGAAACUAGAUGAUUCUGAAACAAAUGAAAUAUUAUGUGUUGUUGUUUUAAUUACCAAGUUUAUCAACAAUAGCAGCAACUCAACACUGACAAAAUGAAGCCAGAUAUAGCCUCUUCACCAUUUCUCAUAGAAGCUGCCUGUUGGAAUUGUUUUGGAAAUUUUGCCAUGAUCCCUAAAUUCACCAUGGGAUUAAAAAAAAGGGGGGGGGGGAACUUCUUAUUUACCUCCUAGGGAAAGUGUUGCCCUUAUGCCACAUAUAAUAGCAAAUUGCUUUUUUUAUGGCAUGCAUAACCUAGAUGGGAAAAAUAUGGCGCUUCAGGGAAGGAGGGAAAAAGUAAAUGAAGUUCCAGGAAUGUCAUUCUGAAGUAAUGAGGCAUGGACAGAAAAUAUACCCCUCACAUCAUCGGAUUGAGAUGGCAGUCGAAAUAGCUUCAUUGAAGUGUCAGCACUCAUCCAUCAAUCAAUCACCCACAAGGAAAAAUAGCAACAGUACAACGGGGCGGCUUUUAUGGGAUUUACUCAUGGGCAUAGGGAAUAGCGGCUCAAAUGUAGUUCUGACAUGAAAAGCAAGGUGCUGAUAUUAUUUUUUAUGAUGGGAGGAUCAUAAAGUGAAUUGAGAACAGCGAGGUCUGUCUUUGCUUAACCUAUUCAACCAGAAAUGAAUGGAACUCAACUGGAAAGGAACAGUCUUCAGAUGGGUUAAGAUUGAAGGGUGGACUCUGCCGAGCACUGUCCUUCGACAACGAGAUUCUAUUAAAGGAAAAUCAAUGCAUUAGCAUUGGUGUUCCUGAAGCUGUUAAAAAUCGCCUGCUUCAACCCAGGGUUGUUAGAUAAAGUUACAUAAUUCAGAUCCUACUGCAACCAUCCAGAAGCAAAUUCGGAGUUUUUGCUCCAGUUAGGGAGAAACAAUGCAAUUCUAAACCCUUUGGAAAUCAUUUUCUAAGGAAAAAAAAUAAUAAAUCAUCUGCUUCCUCAUAGAAUCUAUAUGGCAAUUUCUCUGGUGGGAUGGGGUGGGAGGCAAGAGACAAAAAUAUUGAUAAAUUUGGUAAGACUCAUGAAUCCUCACUUGGCAACCGGGAAUGUCACAGCUAAGGGACAGCUGUUAAUGUUCUCCUUAGAAAACAAGAUCUGGGCUGGCACUGAGAUACAUUCCGCUCUCAGUAUAAUUCUAGAGGCCAUGUCUGUCUUCAUUUGGCAAGCCCUGUGAGGCUUCUAGAAAUCUCUUCCUGGAGAGAAGAACUAAAUAACAUUAGUUCAAGAGAAUAGUUUUACAUGCUUUUAUACCACUUCUUUCCUUUCUCUGAAUAACCCUAGUUCAGAAAAGCUGGAGCUUCAGAAGUGGCAAAGAGAAUGACAUGUGAAUAUCAUUUCUUAAAGCUCUGUCCCAGCACCUCCCUUUGGUAUUAGGGACAGUGAGAGAUUGCCUUUCCUUCCCUAUCCCUCCUUCCAGCUAAGGCCAUCAACCAACUGAAAUCUGAAAUGGUCAUUAAAAAAUCACAAAUAUUUGCAUCUUAAGUAUUUGGCUCCUUUCGUAGCUCAGCAAAUCCAACAAAUCUAUAGUGUGUUAAAAAGCACCAGCAGCACAAAGCACAACAGGGAACACAAUUUAUUCAGCAAAUUCACCCCCCAGAUCUGAUCAGGUACCCAUUUUGUGCCCAGCUCUGUUCUAGGUGCUAGGAGAUGCCCUGGUAGACACUGCACCCAACGACCCCACCCUCCUGUCGCUGAAAGCAACCCAUCCAGGCAGCCGACACCAGGUGUCUACCUGGGGGCAGAGUCCACAUAGGAUCAGAAUAAGAGUAUUUCAGCAUAAGGAGUUUUCCCUCUGAAAAUCAUUCAGAGAGGAAAGAGCUUUAAAAUAGGUCAAAGCCUAAAACAGAAUAUAAUCAUGGAAUAAAUUGGAGACCCCAGACAGUCCCUACAAAAUUUCCUUCAGGCUGUAAAUAGAUCUCUUAAAACUCACCCCAUAACAUGGCGGCUCAGUUGUUUGACACUUGCAUAACUAACAUCUUAGGCAAAAGCCUCUGAACUUAGCUGAAAUGCAGAAAACAGACAAGUGCAAUGACAUGUUUAGGGGUAACUGUGUUGAAGCCGUGAGACAUGUGUGAGGAGUGUGUGUGUGUGUGCACACGUGUGACAGACACACACGCGAAUACAUGUAUAUGAAGGCCGCUGUUGUUUUCCAUGCUGCAUGCAGAGUGCAGCAAUGAGAGUCUGUGAUUUUCUAAAACUUUCUGCAGUGAAUCCAAAGAUCACAGGCCCCCCAAGGCACCUGCAUCCUGCGGCUUUUCUAUAACUUCCUGAAUUAUUUGACUAUGUUCAAACCUUCUUUUCUUUUUUCAUCAGGGUUUCAUUUUUUUAAGCUUGUCAAGUGUUUUUGCCUUUAAAAAGACAUUAAAUGUGCCCUUUUCCACAUUAUUUUCUCAUCUCUGCAACAAGAAAUGGUAGUGUAUAGACAAAUGCUAAAAUAAUAACAAUAAUAAGGAAAUGUAUUAAAGGUUUAAACCUACACACGCAUACACAUAUGUAGUUCUACCGAGCAAUAAAAGUAGUAUCUAUUUUGAACGUGCAUUAAGCACCAAAAAAAAAAAAAAUCAAAACUGAACUUUCGGUUUAUUUUGUUCCCUCUGUGAGAUGUUAAAAUGCUAAUUUCAUUUUCUCCCUUCUUCUAUGUGGCAUUUUUCUCAAAAUAUCUAUGAAAUACUCUUAGACAAAGAUUGAGCUGGAGAAAGAGAUACAAAUUUCCAUCCCCCCAGACAUAGAGAUGUGUUUCCAUUGUAGGAAAGCAUUAAACAUUUUGAAACUUGUGAAUCAUCUUUAGAAUUUCAACAGCGGAAUUUUACCUCUUCAUCCAAAGUAAAAGCCACUUAUCUCCUUUGGUUUCCUGUGACAGAUUCAGAGGCAGACGCAGAUAUACAAUUUCCAGGCUCUAGUUAAUCUUCUUCCAAUAGUUACGAACAAUGGGCUAACGGGCGUGGGUGUUUCUCCAAAAAUUAUUCAUGCGCAAGGCAGCCCAAAGCUUCAGGGAAAACUAGAAAUGUUUUAUGGAUUAGAAUAGGCCUGUUUUAAAAUGCUAGUACCAGGUGGAAUGCUAUUUCUGCAACAGGACUCUGUCCAUUUCCUUUGGAAAAAUAUAUUCCAAGUAAAAUGGCUAUUCCAAGGAGUGACACCCUGGCUUGACAGACUUUGGCACACAAAUGAUCUUACCAAUAGCCAUAUAAUUAUCAUUAAGGCCUUUUACCAUACAGUCUGUUUAAAAAAGACAGAUCAAAUGCUAACAGCCCUUUGUAUCAUGUUUAUUUGCUUAAAACAGCUUUUGGAAGUACAAGUAAUAACUCUUUCAUGAGAACCCCCCAGGAGAAGUUGGAAAUUUUGAAGAAAUGCAUUGCUUAAAAAAAAAAAAAAAUCUAAGCACUCCCUUCAACCCUUUCAGAAAAUAAAUUUCAGUGUGCUCGCUGAAUUAUCUUGAACCUGAACCCUACACUUGGACAUCAGUCCCCAGGCAAUGGCUAAUAUUUACAGAAAGAACAAUCAUGCGAUUAUGUCGCAAGUGAAGACUGUGCCUGGUUAUAUUUUCACUUUCUAAAUGACUCAUAUAACAUUCAGAAAUUAUAAAUGUGUAUGCAUUUUUUAAGUACACAAAGUCCCACCAGUCUGCAAAGAAAAAGUAAAACCUACGCCUGUUCUGCAUUGAGAUAAAUACUACAGAAACAUUCCAGUCCUGCAAUACAAUAUUUUGGCUUUGCAACACAUCAGAUAUUAAAAGCAUGCAACACAGUCAAAAACAAUGACCAAAAAAAAAAUUGUAUUUGGAUCAGAGUUUUGAAAGGUCAUAACAUCCUGGGUUACAAUAUACUUUUUGGUCUCUGACGCUAUCCUUCUAAUCCGUUCUAACUUUGAUUCCAAACAGCCAAGCAAUGUCAGGGAGUCAUAAACUUCCAAGCCCCUUUUAAAUCAGGAACACAGCCAAUCAGAAACAAUCUUUAUCUGGGCAGCCAGUUCCUGCUCUGCACGGCUUUUGUAACGUUUUAGGAAAUCUGGCAUCAAAUCCUUUACAUUAUAUAUUUUCCCCCUUGCAUGAAGUCUAGAUUUUGAGUUGUUGUUUCUUUUCAAAAGGGCAGUGGAGAAAAUGGGUCAGAGUGAGCUUCAAGAAUCACAUUCAUCCUUGCUCUGAAGGAAAGUGUUUAUUUGCCAGAGAAGAAAGGCAAACACAUUUUUGUAUUAGGAAAGCAGACCAGUCGUUUUCAAAGGAAAAUGGCUGCGACCAUACUUGUACAAUGAACGUGUCCGUGCAAGCGCACUAAUUUUCUACCACCUGCAUGCUGUAUAUAAUACACGCCUGUAUAUUAGGAAGGAAAAUUGGGCUGUUUUCCCUGUGUACCAUGCAGCUUGAUGGCUGGGAAACCCAACUGCCGACACUGAGGAGCUGGGUGUGUUCAAUUAUGACUUUGCUGGAGGCUGCCCCUCGUCGGAUGCUGCAGAUGUUGAACACCUUUCUGAAACCCAGCGGAUCUGACACGGCAGAGACGCCCCUCCACACCGUUAGCUUGGCGAACGGCUUCCUUCCCAUCAAUAGCGACUUCCGCUUUGGCCCUUCGAAGAAAAGGAAAAUUAAAGGAGAGAAGGAAAAAAACAAAAAAAAACAAAACAGAUGCACUUAAAACAUGAAAAGAAUUAUUUAUAUGAUAAAAAUAUAUUUAGAUUUUCAAAGCACAAGACUGAAUAGAAGUGCUCUUUUUAAGCUUUCUGGAGAUGUUACUGUUAAAUGUCUUUCUACAUCAGGCUUAAUAAAUCUGUAAUGACAUUUGAUGGA